GGAACUUCAUUGACGAGAACGAGUACGAUUCCCAGUUCGUUCACCAGAGAGCCGUUGAUUGCUGAGAAGCGGCGUUCGAACCGAUUCGGAAAAUCAUCUCCGAGAAGCAGUGCUGAACAUGAGAUCCUAUGGGAUCCAUUAUUAAGGGCUGACGGCUUGUCCCCCGUUACAGGGACCGCGAAUUUACGUAAUUCGCGCCAAGGUGCCGCAUCCGGUUGUUUUUUAGCUGCUGGUCUGCGGAACAAGGGUGGUAACGCGAGCGCAGCCUCGUCCCUUUU
rnacentral:ncRNA from 1 species